GACGAACGCUGGCGGCGUGCUUAACACAUGCAAGUCGAACGGAAAGGCCUGCUUUCCCUUGUGGAUUGCGGGUACUCGAGUGGCGAACGGGUGAGUAACACGUGAGUGAUCUGCCCCCAACUUGGGUAUAAGCCUGGGAAACUGGGUCUAAUUCCCGAUAGGACUGCAGGGUGGUGCCUGUGGUGGAAAACGAUUUUCUAGUGGUUGGGGAUGAGCUCGCGGCCUAUCAGCUUGUUGGUGGGGUAAUGGCCUACCAAGGCGGCGACGGGUAGCCGGCCUGAGAGGGGGGACGGUGACAUUGGGACUGAGAUACGGCCCCGACGCCUACGGGAGGCAGCAGUGGGGAAUAUUGGAGAGUGAGCGGAAGCCUGAUGCAGCGACGCCGCGUGGGGGAUGACGGCCUUCGAGUUGUAAUCUCCUUUCGACCGCGAGGAAGCCACCUGGUUGGAAGGGUGGUGACGGUAGUGGUAGAAGAAGCACCGGCUAACUACGUG
rnacentral:rRNA from 1 species